rnacentral:tRNA from 1 species
GGUCCCUUCGUCUAUCGGUUAGGACAUUUGGUUUUCAACCAAAAAAGACGGGUUCGACUCCCGUAGGGACUACCA